UGGGCUCGGUCUCUGUCCUCGCUCCCCGUCCUGGUGGGUGAGGUGACUCCUCGGUCCUGCCGCCCCGCUGAGGGCCGCGCCGGCUGGGCAGCAGGGACCGUGCGGCCUGACUCCUCCAUGGGGAGCUGGGCCCGGGCCGGCGGCGGAGCGCUCCUCGCCCCAGCCUGGCGGGGCCGUUCCGCCCGGUGGGGGCGGGGGACGCCGCUCCGGGGACUCGCGCGCGCCUCUCCGACUCUGCCCCGCCGCCCCGGGUCGCCGGUGGAUGCGGGAGCCGGGUGAGGCUGCCGCUCCGGAAGCGCGUCCGACGCGGUGGCAGAACGGACUGAGCUCUGCGGAGAUAAAUGGUCACAUGUGACUGAAAUGCUCAUGAAGACACCUCUUAGGAAUGAAGAAAUUCCUCUGCUGGAAAAGUCCUCCAGAAUAUAUUUACAAUUAUCGGGUGCCUAGAUCUACUUCCUAGAACUUGCAAGACACUAACAUGAAUCUCCUUGAACGUGAAACUACCCUUAAAGAGUGACAAAUUCCCAGGGAAAAAUGAACAAAAUAUAAGGGAUUCAAACUUGCAGCUCCUGCUUUGGUGAAAGUGUGGUAGUGAUUAAAGUACAAUUAAAUGAUUAUGGAUGAAAUCAGUAAUGUAUAAUGUGUAGAAAAACAGUAAGAUAAGUAAUGGCUAGAAAAGCACAACAGUUGAUCACUUCAGUUUGCAUGGUUAAAUUUUUGACCCAGCUCAUGUUUCCAUUCUGAAAUGGAAUCAAACUAGUCAUUCAUCUUUGAAUUUACUUUGAAUAAGUUGUCUGGGAUUUUGAGACAAAAUUAGUGUUUGGGGAAUAUUUUUUACACUAUAUUCAACUAAUAAAGAAUUUUGAAGUACAA